GAUGAACGCUAGCGAUAGGCCUAACACAUGCAAGUCGAGGGGCAGCAUAGAGUAGCAAUACUUUGAUGGCGACCGGCGCACGGGUGAGUAACACGUAUGCAACCUACCUACAUCAGGGGAACAACCCGGAGAAAUUCGGACUAAUACCGCAUAAUACAGGGAUGCCGCAUGGCAAUAUUUGUUAAAGAUUUAUCGGAUGUAGAUGGGCAUGCGUUCCAUUAGCUUGUUGGUGAGGUAACGGCUCACCAAGGCAACGAUGGAUAGGGGAACUGAGAGGUUUGUCCCCCACACUGGAACUGAGACACGGACCAGACUCCUACGGGAGGCAGCAGUGAGGAAUAUUGGUCAAUGGACGAGAGUCUGAACAAGCCAAAUCGCGUGAAGGAAGACUGCCCUACGGGUUGUAAACUUCUUUUGUACAGGAAUAAAAGACAUUACGUGUAAUGUAUUGCAUGUACUGUACGAAUAAGCAUCGGCUAACUCCGUGCCAGCCGCCGCGGUAA
rnacentral:rRNA from 1 species